rnacentral:snoRNA from 1 species
GAGCCAACCACUGAAUCUGCUUACCUGAAUGUGUUUGUGCAGAAAUUUAGGCAAAGCUGGCAAUAGUGAUGCCAUGAUACGAGCCUUAAGCAAAAUCAAAAUGGCUACAACA